UUCUGUGUGUCUGCAUCUGCGUGCCAUUUAGGAUUCUUGUCUAUCUAGAUCUUGGUAUAUAACUGCAGCAACUCAUAAGUCUGGGAGGCCAAGAAAGAAGACAUAGGUACAGAAGAAGAGGCUUUAUUAUAAAUAUUUUCUAAGACCAGCUGCAGUCUGAAUGAGACUAUUGAGGGCCUUAUUCUGCACCGCCACUUCACUAGGGAAUACAGUCAUCAUCGACAUAGUUUCACUUGGAGAAAACUGUCUGACACUUUAGUAUCAUAGCCACCAAGUGGCAGCGGUAACAUCUGUUGACCGAUUUGGAGGGGAGCAGAAUAACAGUGAGCAGCAAAGUGUGGACUGGUUCAACAUCAGCCAACAUAAUCGCCCCAACAUCAGCCAGACCGACUGGUUUGAGCUCCUUCCAUGCCUCCCUAACUAUCUUUGCAAGCAGUUGAGUUGGCUUGAACUUUCCUGUACAACUGAAGGUCCUUCUCGAGCGUGUGCAGCUUGAUGUAACAUCAU